UCUUUUCAACCACUCCAAGGAAGUAAAACAGGAUAGCAAGAAUGCUACAAUUAACCCCCAUGCCUCAAACUAACAAAAUUUUCUUUGAUUUAAAAUAGGGGCAAAAAAAACAACAUUUGUGCCAGGAAACACCCAGUGAAAGAAAAGAAGAAAUCAGGCGUCCACCUGGAGAACAAGGACAAAGAAAAGAAGCAAUCAGGCAUCCACCUGGAGAACAAGGACAAAGAAAGGAAGCAAUCAGGCGUCCACCUGGAGAACAAGGACAAAGAAAGGAAGCAAUCAGGCGUCCACCUGGAGAACAAGGACAAAGAAAGGAAGCAAUCAGGCGUCCACCUGGAUAACAAGGACAAAGAAUUGAAAUAGCAAUCAGGCGUCCACCUGGAGAACAAGGACAAAGA
rnacentral:lncRNA from 1 species